rnacentral:rRNA from 1 species
UGGGGAAUCUUGCGCAAUGGUCUAACGACUGACGCAGCGACGCCGCGUGUGGGAGGACGCCUUUCGGGGUGUAAACCACUGUUGCCCGGGACGAACUGCGCGAUUUCUCGCGCGUGACGGUACCGGGUGAGGAAGCACCGGCUAACUCCGUGCCAGCAGCCGCGGUAAUACGGAGGGUGCGAGCGUUGUCCGGAAUCAUUGGGCGUAAAGGGCGCGUAGGUGGCCCGGUCAGUCCGUGGUGAAAGCGCGGGGCUCAACCCUGCGUCGGCCAUGGAUACUGCCGCGGCUGGAGCACUGUAGAGGCAGGCGGAAUUCCGGGUGUAGCGGUGGAAUGCGUAGAGAUCCGGAAGAACACCGGUGGCGAAGGCGGCCUGCUGGGCAGUAGGGGGCAACCCCUUUCAAGCUGACACUGAGGCGCGACAGCGUGGGGAGCAAACAGG